UGAAUCUGUAAAUUUGAGUACUCAAGACAGCCUAAUUGAGACUGGCCAGAGGGUAGAAGAUGUCCCCAGGCGCUCUCAGAGACAUUGUGAGCCACCUAAGAGGCUGCAGUACCCUAAGUUGGGUAAUCCCCUUUCAUUAGUCGUACAGUCAUUACUGCAAGGGCUCAGUACAGCCUUCACUGUGUCAUUGGAAGAGCCUGAUUCUCUUAAGAGUACGUCUGUGGAAAUGUAUGGUGGAUAUCCCUCUGCGAUUGUUUCGCAGCCUAAAAGAUGCAGCGGGACCUGCAUAUCUUCCAGAAGGGGAGAGUGUAACCCGGGUAAUCCAGUUACUAGUUAAGAUUAAGAAUUAUAAAAUAAUAAUAAAGUGAAAUAUAAUAAAGUAAUUAAGUGAAGAAAAGUGAGAAAAGUAAGAAAGGAGGAAAGUUCUAGAAGGAAAACUGUUUUGCCCAAUCACAGCCCUUAUUUCAGUGACUGACUCUCCAAAGAGCCAAUGUUAGCAGCACUUUCAUAAGCCCCGCCCACAACCUGCAGUGGCGCUGCUAGACUGUCAGUUUGAAAGACAGAGUGAGAGAGUGAAACGGAGCAGCUACACAGAGCGAUAUUCAGAGAUCCUCUAUAAGAAAGUUUUAAAAUAGAUCGCGAAUAACUUUGGAUGCAGUAAAUAGUCAUAUUUCUGAACGGAUUCGAUUACGUGAAGUUGUCAUUGGAGUGAGAGGACGACAAAGCAAAGAUUUGUGAACUGAAAGUGGAUGAAAUCCAACGGAGAAUUGGAGUGUUGCAAAUGAGCUUAUUUGAAUAUAUAUAUGAAGUUAUUGCCUUGGCUGGGUUUUUGUUUUGUCUAUGAUUUAUUCUACGUGAUUUCCUGUGAGAGAUUCCUGUUUUGUGCCAUAUUUAAUCCUUCUGGAGAGGAAUCUGUGUAUCUGACGUGAUUAAAUAUGCACAAUGGCGAGCCAUCAACGAACCUGUUUCCACUUUGAACUGUGCUAAGAUUCACCAACUGGUAGGAAAUUUCCAAUUUUUUUCUUGCUUUUGGACACAAAAGACUCUCGUUCGUUGAACUCUUAAUAUUUUUCUUCUACCAAAAGGAGAGAUUGCCUUUUGAACUUGAGCUCAUUGAGAGAGUUUAAUAACUCUUGUUACUGAACUGAAUCAUUUGAUCAACGAACUGUGUUCAACUGAGUUGUUUGACCUUUAUUGGAACUGAACUGAAUCAUUUGAUUCACGAACUGUGUUCAACUGAGUCGUUUGAUCAUUAUUCGAACUGAAUUGAAUCAAUUUGAUGCAUUUGUGUAUUUUCAGCUCAUAUUGUUGAGUAUUCUGUUGAGUUUGAAAAGAAUAGUGAUCUGUUCUGAGAAAUUUGAAUCACAUUCAGUGUUCUGAGUUAAAUUGAAUGUCAUUUCAAUAUUUUUUUGGGGUUUUAUUGAAUGUAAUAUUUUGCUGAAGGUCAUAUUAUUUGUAAAAUACUUUCCCUGAAGUGAAAGAAAAACACACUACUGUUUUAUUUUGAGAGUUUUAUUUAUUUUUAUAUUUUGUGAAGAGUGUGAAACUUCAAAUUGAAUUGAAUCUGUCAAACUGUUGAAUUCUUGAUCCUAUAAGAAAUGAAAGAAGAUUGUUAAUUGUUGAUCUUCACUGUUAACAACUGAGUCUAUAUCUGUGAAUUAUUCAUUGAAACAAAUAACAAAA